rnacentral:rRNA from 1 species
GUGGGGAAUAUUGGACAAUGGGCGCAAGCCUGAUCCAGCCAUGCCGCGUGAGUGAUGAAGGCCUUAGGGUUGUAAAGCUCUUUCACCGAUGAAGAUAAUGACGGUAGUCGGAGAAGAAGCUCCGGCUAACUUCGUGCCAGCAGCCGCGGUAAUACGAAGGGAGCGAGCGUUGUUCGGAAUCACUGGGCGUAAAGAGUGCGUAGGCGGUUAUACAAGUCAGGAGUGAAAUCCCAGAGCUUAACUUUGGAAUUGCUUUUGAAACUGUAUAGCUAGAGUCCCGGAGGGGUUAAUGGAAUUCCGAGUGUAGAGGUGAAAUUCGCAGAUAUUCGGAGGAACACCAGUGGCGAAGGCGAUUAACUGGACGGGCACUGACGCUGAGGCACGAAAGCGUGGGGAUCAAACAGGAUUAGAAACCCCAGUAGUCC